rnacentral:sRNA from 1 species
CCAUGUUGGCCAGGCUGGUCUGAGAGAGAACUCCUGACCUCGUGAUCCGCCUGCCUCAGCCUCCCAAAGUGCUGGGAUGACAGGCGUGCGCCACUGCACCCAGCCCGUGAAGGUCUUUUCUGAAGGGAGCUACCUUUGAGAAGUGCCUGUUGGGACAGAACUCCCUGCUCUGGUCUGACCCUCUGCAUGCUAGGGUGGUCCUGCACCUGUCGGGGAGGGGGCCAAGGACACAGCACAGGGCUGGGGCAGGGCUCUGCGCUGGUGCUGCCUGCCAUCCCAGUUCUGCCAUUCCCCCAGCGCACCCCCCCACCCGCCCCUCCAGCUGAUGCCUGCUCCCUCUCUCUGCAGAACGGGCUCAUGUCGGGGCUGAUGCAGAUGCUGCUGCUGAAGGUGUCUGCGCACAUCACCGAGCAGCUGGGCAUGGCCCCAGGCGGCGAGUUCAGGGAGGCCUUCAAGGAGGUGGGCACAGGGCGAGGUAGGGGGUGGCCACAGGGAUGUGGCUCACAGGGGUGGUCCGGAGUUCCCACUGCUCCCCAACACCCAGCCUCUGCUCCAGGCCAGCAAGGUGCCUUUCUGCAAGUUCCACCUGGGUGACCGGCCCAUCCCCGUCACCUUCAAGAGGGCCAUCGCAGCGCUCUCUUUCUGGCAGAAGGUCAGGCUGGCUUGGGGCCUGUGCUUCCUGUCAGACCCCAUCAGGUAGGGCUGCCCGCGGGACCCUGGGCGACCUCUUGUCAGACCCCAUCAGGUAGGGCUGCCCCGGGGACCCCGGCCGGCCUGCAGGGUGGUCUGUGGGAGGCUCCAGGCCCUCCUGUGCAGGUCCAAGCGCAGCCAAUCCUCACUCAAGGCCUUCCCUGCCCUUUCCUUCCGCCACAAAUCCCAAACAAACGUGCUGUGGUCCCUGCCCGGUGUCCACAGUGCCAGCCCCCCCCCCGCCCCCAGCCCGUUGCCCAUCCCUGCGGGGCUGCAGCCAUCCCUCUCCACAGCAAGGAUGACGUGGAACGCUGCAAGCAGAAGGACCUACUGGAGCAGAUGAUGGCCGAGAUGAUUGGCGAGUUCCCGGACCUGCACCGCACCAUCGUCUCGGAGCGCGACGUCUACCUAACCUACAUGCUGCGCCAGGCCGCGCGGCGCCUCGAGCUGCCUCGGGCCUCUGACGGUGACGGCCGCCCGCAGGCGUGGGACCCCCUGUGAGGCUGAGGCCCGAGCAGGUACUGACCCCUUGUCCUUCCCCACAGCCGAGCCCAGGAAGUGCGUCCCCUCCGUGGUCGUGGGCGUCGUGGGCAUGGGCCACGUGCCUGGCAUCGAGAAGAACUGGAGCACCGACCUCAACAUCCAGGAGAUCAUGACCGUGCCCCCGCCGUCCGUCUCCGGCAGAGUGUCUCGGUUGGCCGUGAAGGCCGCCUUCUUCGGCCUGCUGGGCUACAGCCUGUACUGGAUGGGCCGCCGCACUGCGAGCCUGGUCCUGUCGCUGCCCGCCGCGCAGUACUGCCUGCAGAGGGUGACCGAGGCCCGGCACAAGUAGGAGACUGCUCCCCGCCCGCUCGGGCCCCUGAGGAGCCAGUGCCCCCGCGGCACUUCUGGGUGCCAGGUGCAUCCUAGCCUGCCCGAGGCCCCUGCCACCCCCCAUGGGGGUCUGGGCCCGGCUUCGCCUGCCUUCCUGGGCCAGUCACCCCUCCCCCAGCCCACCCAAAUAAAGGAUUAUUUAACUGUCUGA